GGCUUCAUAGUCAUAGCUCAGUGGUAGAGUGUUUUGCGCUGGAAUCGCAAAGGUCAUGGGUUCGAAUCCCGUUGGAGCCU